UACGGAGGGUGCGAGCGUUGUCCGGAAUCACUGGGCGUAAAGGGCGCGUAGGCGGCCUGGCAAGUCGGGGGUGAAAUCCUGCGGCUUAACCGCAGGGCUGCCUUCUAAACUGUCAGGCUCGAGCACGGUAGAGGCAGAUGGAAUUCCCGGUGUAGCGGUGGAAUGCGUAGAGAUCGGGAAGAACAUCAGUGGCGAAGGCGGUCUGCUGGGCCGUUGCUGACGCUGAGGCGCGACAGCGUGGGGAGCAAACAGG
rnacentral:rRNA from 1 species